GGAGGGAUACUCAAGCGGCCAACGAGGGCAGACUGUAAAUCUGCUGGACAUCGUCCUACGGUGGUUCGAAUCCACCUCCCUCCACCA
rnacentral:tRNA from 1 species